UGUCAUCUUGUAUCUGCGCUCACAU
rnacentral:piRNA from 1 species